rnacentral:rRNA from 1 species
UGCCUAAUACAUGCAAGUCGAGCGGACCGACGGGAGCUUGCUCCCUUAGGUCAGCGGCGGACGGGUGAGUAACACGUGGGUAACCUGCCUGUAAGACUGGGAUAACUCCGGGAAACCGGGGCUAAUACCGGAUGCUUGAUUGAACCGCAUGGUUCAAUCAUAAAAGGUGGCUUUUAGCUACCACUUACAGAUGGACCCGCGGCGCAUUAGCUAGUUGGUGAGGUAACGGCUCACCAAGGCGACGAUGCGUAGCCGACCUGAGAGGGUGAUCGGCCACACUGGGACUGAGACACGGCCCAGACUCCUACGGGAGGCAGCAGUAGGGAAUCUUCCGCAAUGGACGAAAGUCUGACGGAGCAACGCCGCGUGAGUGAUGAAGGUUUUCGGAUCGUAAAACUCUGUUGUUAGGGAAGAACAAGUACCGUUCGAAUAGGGCGGCACCUUGACGGUACCUAACCAGAAAGCCACGGCUAACUACGUGCCAGCAGCCGCGGUAAUACGUAGGUGGCAAGCGUUGUCCGGAAUUAUUGGGCGUAAAGCGCGCGCAGGCGGUUUCUUAAGUCUGAUGUGAAAGCCCCCGGCUCAACCGGGGAGGGUCAUUGGAAACUGGGGAACUUGAGUGCAGAAGAGGAGAGUGGAAUUCCACGUGUAGCGGUGAAAUGCGUAGAGAUGUGGAGGAACACCAGUGGCGAAGGCGACUCUC